rnacentral:rRNA from 1 species
UCAGGUGUGCCAGCCGCCGCGGUAAUACGUAGGUGGCAAGCGUUAUCCGGAUUUAUUGGGCGUAAAAGCGAGCGCAGGCGGUUGCUUAGGUCUGAUGUGAAAGCCUUCGGCUUAACCGAAGAAGUGCAUCGAAACCGGGGCGACUUGAGUGCAGAAGAGGACAGUGGAACUCCAUGUGUAGCGGUGGAAUGCGUAGAUAUAUGGAAGAACACCAGUGGCGAAGGCGGCUGUCUGGUCUGCAACUGACGCUGAGGCUCGAAAGCAUGGGUAGCGAACAGG